AGUAUGCACCUUAAUGUUGGCUUACAAUCUGCUGAUAAACUUAAAGAAGAAGAAGGAGAAGCUUCACCCACCAUAUGUUCAACAGUUACCAUUUUAAGACUUUUUUGCUGACAGAAUCAAGAUCAUUUUGACAUUUCAACCAGGCCCCUGCAACUUGCAACUUGGAAAGCCAGUCCAUAUUCGCAUGCCUCCAGCUCCUCCAUUCGCUAGCUGUUAAGAGAUGGAGAAAGCGGCCAAGAAAGGCAGACUAAUAUCAGAUUACAAGCUCCAGCAAAUGAUGCCAAGUGAUGAGCGGCCAGAACGCAGAAGCCAAUGAAAGCCAGUGUAAUUAGGAGGAGAAAGAGUAGAAGACGACAGAUGAGGAAGCCCCACCAGGUGGCCAGCUGGCUCUCCUCUGUGAUCGAAAACCCACUGCCAUCCCGCAGAGCUCAAAGCUCCUGAAGGCGCUGAGUAGAUGUGACUUAUUGCUGUUCUUAAGUAUGGGGUUUGGUGCCACCAUGAGGUCACAUCAGGAGAGAUUACCCGCAGAAGGUCUGAGACUUCAUCUUCACGAGACUUCCCCACAUUUGCGUGAGUCUUCGUAUGAUUCAAUAGAUGACUCUGCACCCUUAACGACUGAGUAAGAAAAAAAACAUCCCCUGAUUCCAGUAACUAGUCUUUCUGCAGCCAAACUUGCACUUUAUGUGGUUGCUGAGUUAAUCUGUGAUCAAAAACUUUCCCUGUGACUUUCUACAAGCAGGACACUUCAGAGAAAUCCCCCAUGCUGCCAACUCUGCAUUUUCCCCAGCAACAAGGAGUGGUCUCACACAACUGUAAUAUAGCUAUGUGAGGGUCUCUAAAAUCUUCAAAUCACCCCAAAAUCUUAAACAAUGAUUGGGUAUUCUCCUUGUCAGGGACAGUACUUUAAAAAUAAACUAGCUGGGUUCUGUUGCAACAAGCUGCUAGCUGCUUUCUUUGCAUAUUCUCUUUAAAUUGAGACUUUGAACAAGCAUCUUUUAUACACCUUCCUAAUCACUCAGACAUCAGCAUCCCUUCUUCAUGUUCCCAGAAUCCAUAAAGAAACUGGUCAUAGGCCAUACAAAUACAAAGCUCCAUCUGAUUGGAAUAAUCUUUCCCUUUUUCUGAAGUCCAUCACCUUCCAUUUCUUUUAAUCCAAUUCAUUCACUUAUUUGAAAUCAAGCUGUUCCAGUUUCUGACUUUCUUUGUAUGCUAAUGGUCUUUAUUGCUGCUUUUCCUAUUGUUGAUGUUGUUCCAUGUCAAGAUUUUGUUUAACAGAUGGGUGUUGGGGGUGGGAGUGAGUGAGAGUGAGGGUAAGGGAGAGCUGUCUGUGUUUGUGUCAUUGUGUUUGUUGGGAUCCGCUGUUU